UGCCUCACGAGAUGACACAUGAAUGGCCCAGAGGAGAGCUGCGCAAAACGUGAGGGAUGUGUCCGCACGGAUGGAGCGAGGAGCGGAGCAACGUCUUCCCGCACAGCGCCUCCACCGAAACUGCGCAGUUUUCGGCGACGUUUGGAGCAAACAGAUCACAGCUGGAGGAUGCACGUUUGUGAGAGUCGAAGGAGGAACGGGGUAGAGGAGGAAGUUUCAAAAUGUGCAAAUGUUUUCGUUGAAGUCACCGAGUAGAAACGUUGGCAGAUGCGCCUGCCUUGUCUACCCUUGCUUAUAAGGUGAGACUUCUCUUGGUAGCACAGAAGAGUCCAAAAGAUCCAAUUCGGCAGCAGACGCCGAGUGCGAGUCCUUGGCGUCAAGUGUGCUGUCAGAAUGGUAUUCGCCAAGGCCAAAAUAAAUGUCUGCGUCGCCAUCAUCUUC
rnacentral:lncRNA from 1 species